AAGGAUUCCCCUAGUAGCGGCGAGCGAAGAGGGAUGAGCCCAGCACCGAAGCCCGCGGUUGGGAAACUGACCGACGUGCAAUGUGGUGUUAAGGUAGUACCAAUAUAUCGUACUUAGUGUUGCGUGUCUAAGUCCUUCUUGAAAGGGGCCCGCGUUUCCCGUAGAGGGUGCCAGGCCUGUAUGACCGUAAUGUUUCGUAUCGAUGGUACUUACCUAAGAGUCGGGUUGCUCGAUAAUGCAACCUAAAGUAGGUGGUGAACUCCAUCUAAGGCUAAAUAUGACCACGAGACCGAUAGCAAACAAGUACCGUGAGGGAAAGUUGAAAAGAACUUUGAAGAGAGAGUUCAAGAGUACGUGAAACCGUUCAGGGGUUAAGCCUGUGAAACCCGAGAAGUCGAAAGGGGAGAUUCAACACCUAUUUUCGGCAAAUUUUGUAACCAUUCAUCAGUGGGAACAAAGUGUAUGUGUGCAAUUCUCGUAAUUGUUUUCACAUACACCCUUAUCUGUGUGAAUGUGUAUUUACAGCCGAUGGUGUGCACUUCUCCACCUAGUAGCACGUCGCGAAUUGUUGGAUUUCGUCUUACGGCUCAUUUGGUUCAGACCGUGACUUGAUGGUUUCGUUUUACGUUUCCAUUUCGCUUACGGGCCAUAUUGAUGUCCUGACGAAUGUCCGACAAUAUAUUUAUUGGUGUUCGGCGUAUGUUUUAUAUACGUUGCACAUUUAUGUGUGUAACCGUACCGUUCACCGUUCUGCGGCGAUAUAAUUCGGGAAUUCACAGGACCCGUCUUGAAACACGGACCAAGGAGUCUAGCAUGUACGCGAGUCAAUGGGCAAUUUAUAAAACCCCAAAGGCGUAACGAAAGUGAACGUUCGUAUAUUGACGAACUAUAUAUUAUAUUUUGAUGUAUUAUGUAGGGAUGAUGGGAAGCUACACAUAUAGCGACCCCGCAAUCCCGGGGCGUCUCAUAUACUUAUACUUCGGUAUAAGUUAAGGCGCACCUAGAGCGUACACGCUGGGACCCGAAAGAUGGUGAACUAUGCCUGGUCAGGACGAAGUCAGGGGAAACUCUGAUGGAGGUCCGUAGCGAUUCUGACGUGCAAAUCGAUCGUAUGAGCUGGGUAUAGGGGCGAAAGACCAAUCGAACCAUCUAGUAGCUGGUUCCCUCCGAAGUUUCCCUCAGGAUAGCUGGCAUUCGGAGAAAAUUUUUUAUAAAGAUAUGUGCAAUUGUUGAACGAUACAUAAAAUGAGUUUCAUCCGGUAAAGCGAAUGAUUAGAGGCAUCGGGAUCGAAACGGUCUCGACCUAUUCUCAAACUUUAAAUGGGUGAGAAAUAUGGCUUGCUUAAAUUAUGAAGCCGUUUGUAUAAAUUUAUUUAUGCAUAUUUGAAUCAAUGAGUGCCAAGUGGGCCACUUUUG
rnacentral:rRNA from 1 species